CUGGUUGCAAUGUUAAUUUUGAAACAGGAGUUGAAGUUUGCUCGUUGCUGCACAUGGUCACUGGGACAUUGGCUGCUAUUUCAGAUUUUAUUUUCCAAAAUAAUGCAGGAACCAGCACAUAGGAUUUGACUCUGCUUCUGUUGAAAUAAUAGAAGACAGAGACCACCACGAAGGACAGCUCACAGGAAAAUGACAACCAAUAAUGCACUACAAAGCCCAUGGGAACCAUUAGCUGCAUGGAGGAAAGAUUGCUCCAGGGGACAGGCCCAGGAGAGCAUCCCAAGCUGGAGUUCACAGCUACACUUUGUGCCUUUACCACACUUCCCACAUGCCCCAGAUGUGUCCACACGAAGCAGCACUGAGUGUCCUUGGGAUCUCCUAUCCUACAGUGCUUUAGGCACUGUCAGCAACAGAGGUGCUGACAAUGUGACCUACCAUCAUCUCUGCCCAGCUGGCACCUCUUGCCUGUCAAUGACUGCCAGUAACAAAGACAGGAAUGCCCAAGGCAUGGGGGCUGCAGCCCUUCCCAGCUUCCUUGGAAAGCUCCUGCCACCUCCUUUCUUCACAGGUGACUGAACAGCAGCUCCUUUCCCCCCUUACCUUUGGUGCUUGGCUGGGGGAGUCUGACAGUCUGGCCUCAGCCCCUCCUGCCAGCACAGGAUGAUGCUGCAAACAUUUGUGUUGGGAGACAAAUCAGAGAACAUUUGUGCUGCCUGUGAGAGCCCAGGGUGUUGAAGUGUGACUCCUUUCAUCACAACAGAGAAGACAGAGGCUCUGGAAAUGGUCAGCACAGGGAACAAAACCUUCCAGUGAGGCUCUGCCAUGAAGUGGGAACUUCUGCUUUCCUUUUGUUGUGGCCUCUUGAAGGCCAUGUGGUCACUGUCAGCCAUGGCCUUUGGUGCAGACUGAACAGGCAACAUCACCUGCAAGACCCUGUGAGCACAGCACAAGUGCUGACAUGAACAUUUCUACUCAAUGAACUCCAAAAAACUCUGCUUUCUGAGAAGCUAAUCACAGACCUCUUUGUCAGUGUGUAGUGUGGAGAAGAGUGUGACACCAGCUUUAUAUCCUAGAAACAACACAUUACUUCUUGAAGUAUAGCUAUUGACUAGAUAUCCCCAGAUAAAAUGAGCUCCAAUUACAAAAACUAUUAAUAAUGUAUUUCCCAUUUCUUGUAGAUUCUAUUUAUGCAUUUGUUAACAAAACAGUUGCUAUAAUUGCACUGAAUGGUCUGGGUAUAAAAUGUAUUAGUUCUGAGGAUAAGCAUGUUUAGCAAAAAGUUGCACGUGACCUUCCAGUAUGUUUGCCAUAAUUUUUUGAUAACUCAAUUGUUUGAUCCUCUGACAGGAUCACCUGUGUUUGUUAUUGCUUGAAUUAAUUCACUGUAGACAUUCAUAUCCAUGGGUCCAUAUCUUACAUAUAGCAUACACUGAACCUACCACAUUAUUUUGGGUAAAACCCCACCUUCUUAGCAAUACACUGGUUCCAUGUCCCAGCCCUCCCCUUACUUACCCAUU